AAUAACAUACAUGUGGUGUACGACCACCCCAUUCAAAAUGCAAUAUUUAUGUUUGUUAGUUUCAACAUAAGCUUACUGAACAUUGCUAGUCGCGUUUUCCAAAACUAAUUUUGUUACCGAAGUGACUCCGUUAUUUAUGACUAGCCAAUCAGAUGCCAAAGAUGUGAAUCGGAAGAGGAGGAACCGGCGGUAUCAUUCAAGGCAAGUACUGAAGGGGGGAUAAGACGCGUUUAUGGAGCAUAUCAAUGCCAAGUUCGUGUCUCAGAAAAUCAUUAUAACUUGAUGGAGACCCAUCUCUUCUACAUCUCUGCAACAGACUGAUGUUUUUGCUACUGGAUCUUGGGAUAACGAGGACAACGCAGUUUCCAUCUGGUCUGUUGCAGAGUAAGGGAUGCAAGAUGUGUAUGAAUGAGAUCCUCAGUGGCUGUGUGAAUACAAACAAGAUGGCGAUGUCAUGGAUCUUCAAGAGAUAAUUGUUACAGCUUCAUCCACAGAAAGUGUGACCAUAUUUUGUUACUAUCCGAACAGCCAGGUAACACAGAUGUUCCUUUUCUUGGUUUGCUGGUCGUCUUUGGCAACCAGUCCUACAAUCAGUUAUAACAGAUGAAUGAGUUUUGUUUGCCAUGUGUUUUCCUGGAGAGGUCAGACAUUUCAGCCAUAAAAACAGAGAUGAAAAAACAACCUCCCAUUUUAUUCUUGGGGUUUGUAUUAUUUAUGCACCUUUUAAUGUACAGUAUGACUAUUACAGUCAUCUCUAAUUCACAGCGAUUUAAGAUUUAAAUGUCAAAGAUCCCCUUUUGGUCUCACACAUAUUUUGCAGACACCGCUUUCAUAUCAUCAGGAUAAUGUUCUAAAUUUUUUUUUUUUUUUAAAUGGCUAUGAUGUUUUUAGACCCAGUUUUCAAACCAGCGGUGGGAGCGAGCACGCUACCAUUCCUAUGGUAAUGCCCCCUGCACCGGGGUUGUCUGUAACAGCCCAGAAAUCGUCACAGUGGGGGAAGACGGGUGAAUCAACCUGUUCAGAGUGGACCACAAAGGCAUUGUGCGCACUAUAGGACUGGAGACAGAGUGCCCCUGCACUAUGUAGACAGACACCCAAAUCAACAGCACAUUGUGGCAGCAGGGGGUCAGGAUGGCAUGCUGUGCAUCUGGGAUGUCUGGCAGGGCAAUAUGCCUUACUCUGUCAUGGAAGCACAUUCAGCUGAAAGUGGAAGAAAUACUACCAUCCCAUCACGCAGCACAAUUGCCCCAGCAAGCAUUAACCGGUCCUUAAUGAGUUCAUGGUUAACCUCAGAUUAUUCAGAAGGACGCCUGGAAACAACCAACAUGCUUUCUAGCCAGACCACGCCUGUGAACUGUUUGGAUGUGCUGGGUCAGUGCCUGGUCUGUGGAACAGAUGGGGAGGCUAUUUAUGUCACUAAACAGGUGCCAAUGUAAAGAAGGACCAUCACUAUUUUUUUGUUUUUGUUAUUUAACUCAAUCUCUAGUCUUUUUGUGUACAAAACUGAAUAUUUGUUUAAAUUGUCAAAAUUACAAUAAAUGUCUUAAGGGUAUGU